rnacentral:rRNA from 1 species
GAUGAACGCUGGCGGCGUGCCUAAUACAUGCAAGUCGAGCGAACAGACGAGGAGCUUGCUCCUUUGACGUUAGCGGCGGACGGGUGAGUGACACGUGGAUAACCUACCUAUAAGACUGGGAUAACUUCGGGAAACCGGAGCUAAUACCGGAUAACAUGUUGAACCGCAUGGUUCAACAGUGAAAGACGGUCUUGCUGUCACUUAUAGAUGGAUCCGCGCCGCAUUAGCUAGUUGGUAAGGUAACGGCUUACCAAGGCAACGAUGCGUAGCCGACCUGAGAGGGUGAUCGGCCACACUGGAACUGAGACACGGUCCAGACUCCUACGGGAGGCAGCAGUAGGGAAUCUUCCGCAAUGGGCGAAAGCCUGACGGAGCAACGCCGCGUGAGUGAAGAAGGUCUUCGGAUCGUAAAACUCUGUUAUUAGGGAAGAACAAAUGUGUAAGUAACUAUGCACGUCUUGACGGUACCUAAUCAGAAAGCCACGGCUAACUACGUG